GGGCUGGACAGAGAGUGACUCUACUGGGAGCCGAGCCAUGAGACCCAGGGCGUCACCCACCUGGGCUCCCUCACCCUGGACGGGGACAGCCUCUACAUCAGUGAUUACACCUAUGGAGCUGCAGCCCCGACUACCACCACUCCCGAGCUGGCCACCACGUCCCUGCAUACUUGAUCAUCACCUGUGCCAC